GACAACUAACAACACGUUCGACUCAAUGCGAUCAUACAUUAAGUAAAUCGCGUCUGCUCCUCAAUUCUAGAUACAAAAAGCAAAGUAAGAUGGUUCAAAAAACGUAGAAGUAUUUUAUUAAAAGAAAGAUAAUAAUAAUAACAAUCAAUUUGGAGAUGGUAUUUAUGCAAUAUCUUCGAGUACACCAUUAGAACGAUAUAAGCUUAUUCAGUAGGAAAUUCAACAGAAAAAUAAAUAAUUUUGAAUAAUAGAUCACUUGGCAAACAAUCGAGAAAUAUUAACGUACUCGGAUUGUGGAUGCAAGAUAUCAAAGCGAAAAAGAA